rnacentral:rRNA from 1 species
UACGUAGGGUGCGAGCGUUGUCCGGAAUUAUUGGGCGUAAAGGGCUCGUAGGCGGUUUGUCGCGUCGGGAGUGAAAACCUACAACUUAACUGUGGGCUUGCUUUCGAUACGGGCAGACUAGAGGUAUGCAGGGGAGAACGGAAUUCCUGGUGUAGCGGUGAAAUGCGCAGAUAUCAGGAGGAACACCGGUGGCGAAGGCGGUUCUCUGGGCAUGAUCUGACGCUGAGGAGCGAAAGUGUGGGGAGCGAACAGG